rfam:Sphingorhabdus sp. M41, complete genome.
GCACCCGUAGCUCAGCUGGAUAGAGCGCUGCCCUCCGAAGGCAGAGGUCACUGGUUCGAAUCCAGUCGGGUGCA